rnacentral:rRNA from 1 species
AUUGAACGCUGGCGGCAGGCCUAACACAUGCAAGUCGAGCGGAGCGGCGGACGGGUGAGUAAUGCCUAGGAAUCUGCCUGGUAGUGGGGGAUAACGUCCGGAAACGGGCGCUAAUACCGCAUACUAUCAGAUGAGCCUAGGUCGGAUUAGCUAGUUGGUGGGGUAAAGGCAUACCAAGGCGACGAUCGGUAACUGGUCUGAGAGGAUGAUCAGUCAAACUGGAACUGAGACACGGUCCAAACUCCUAAGGGAGGAAUCAGUUGGGAAUAUUGGACAAGGGGCGAAAGCCUGAGCCAGCCAUGCGGCGUGUGUGAAGAAGGUCUUCGGAUUGUAAAGCACUUUAAGCGGGGAGGCGUUACCAACAGAAAAAGCACCGGCUAACUUCGUGCCAGCAGCCGCGGUAAUAC